ACUUUUUUUAAAAUUAUAAGAUUCAAAGGAAAUUUUUGAUAUAUUACAUAUAUGCCUGCAUCUCCAAUUUAAGACCACAAAAUUAAAAGAUUUCUUUUUAGUUUUCUAAAACUUCAUGCAUAGUCAAACUACAACGCUUAAAUUAACAUCGAGAAAGUACUUUUUCUUUAAGAGUUUAAGAUAUAUACGUCGUCCAUAUAAAUCAUAUGCACACAACACAUCAGAUCCUCUUCACAUGUUAUAGCAAGUAACCUGCUGUUUUAUUUGCAUGCAAGAUUACAAAUCUCAUAUCUUAAGGAUGUCUGCCGAGCUAUAAAUAUUCUUUGAAUAACCUGACAGUGUAAGGAAAUCUUUUUAACAAUAUGUAGGCCAUCAUUAGAGAAGCUGAAGAAUUUGGAUUAGGGCAAAAAAAGUACUAUAUGAUAUUAGCAUUAACAGCAAUAUCUCUACAAACUAUGAUGAUUGGAAGUCUUGGGAUGAUUUUCUGCUCCUCAGCACUAUUGUUUGGGAUAGUAAAUGCACUUCUAAAUUCCAAAUACAACAAAUAUUUGCUGUCAUUUUCUGCCUGAAAGCUUCAAUUCUGACAAGUGGAUGGCUUUAGCUAUGUGUCUUUGGGGUUUUGUCUUUCUUAUUUCUAUGGAGAAUAUAAAGAUAGCAUGACCAACAAGGUUACAAAAAAUAAACCAUGCUACCCUGCCAGACCAAGUUUGAAUAACAUUAAUGCUACUUUUGUAUUCAGUGGUGUACCCAGAAUUUUAUGUAAGUAAUUUAUUAGUAUUACAACUCUGUCAGUAUGGGAGUUUGGGUCGUCUUGGAUUGUGGAGUUCUUUUAAGACGUUUAUUUUCGAUUGUAAAUUGAUGCAUGUUUAUUUUAAUACUUUUUAAGCGAUGUCAGCAUGUUGAGUAUUUAUAGUGGCGGAGCCAGAAUUUUUUUUAAAAAAAAUUAUGCCAAGGAAAUUUAACAAUUACUUAUAUAUAUUAUAUGCAAAAAAGAUAAAAUAAAUAAUUUUUAGGGCAAACCACAUAAAUCUCACUAGUUUAGGUCUUAAUUAUUAAGAUUCCCAAUAGUUUCAAAUAUUACUUCAUGUACCAUAUUUUAUGCUUGAAUCAAUGAGAUACAUGUAUCUGCCGAAUUUUAAAAUUGAGAUACAAAAUUUAUUUAUUUAAAUUAAUUGUUUGGAACUAAUUUCCUUAAUUAGAGGAGUAAUUGAGGAUUUUCAAAAUACAUAGAUAAUUAAUUUCAUUUUAUUAUUCUUUAAAAUAGUAAAUUCAUUAAUAUUAUUAAUAUAAGAUAACAACACAUAUAUCUUGGUAAUGCGAUUUGAUUAAUUUCAAAUUAUUACUCUUAAAAUAAUAAAUUCAUUAAUUUGAUGUAUCUAUUAUCAAUAUAUGAUGUAUCNNNNNNNNNNNNNNNNNNNNNNNNNNNNNNNNNNNNNNNNNNNNNNNNNNNNNNNNNNNNNNNNNNNNNNNNNNNNNNNNNNNNNNNNNNNNNNNNNNNNNNNNCAUAUGUUAUAUCCAAAAACAUGUAUCUCGAAUACAUAAUAAGCAUAUACAUUUAAUUAUGUGUAUCUAAAUAUGAAAUGUAGCUGAAACACAUGAAUUUAGGAACAAAUCACGACUGUAGAGUAUCUGUCGUAUCAUUAAUAUCAUCGUGUUGUUAAAAAUCAUGUAUCCAAAAUUUAAUGGUGGAUACAUAUACAUGGUCAGACACCCCAUUACUAAAAAUACAACUCAGAUCUUAAUUAAGAUUACUACUUAUUGGAUACACAUGUUUCAAGGGCUAUAUCAAAGUAAUAUUGGUACUACCAAAUCCAUGUCACGGUAACCAAAGAAAGCCUUAGAAGAACACCAACAAACAAAAACUCUCUACAAUACUCCCUUUGAUCCUUUUGCGUUGUGGUAUAACAUAAUCAAAACUAAGAUCCAUUUCUUCCGGAGACAAACAAUCAAGACACACUCUGAAUUAAAGUUUUCUCUGUAGCAGUUACUUUGAUUUGAUCUAGUUAUAAAUGAACAAUACAAAAUAAUAUUUGAGUUCAGGAGAAUUUGUCGGCCAUGGUGAUGAUAUCUUGAGAAGAAGAGAGUAGAUUAGCUUUGUUGGAAUGAAAUUGUACAAUGAAAUUCUUGAAUCAUAAAGGAGGAGACAUAAUUGAAUGAUAAAUAUGGGAGGGGAGAAUUAAGAGAUAGUGGUUGAUUUGGAGUGAAAGAGUUAAUUAAGCAGAUAAUUAAUCAAUCCUAAUUUUAAGAUAUGUGGGUAUCUAAUAAUCUAAUUGUAUCUUCAAAUAAUAUAUUAAUAUAUGGUAUAAAAUAUUAAAAGUGGUAAUAUAUGUAAUUGUUUGAAAGUAAAGAUAAUAUUAGUAUAUAUAGUAGUGAUGUAUGUCUAAUAAGGUAGUUUAUCCUAAUUUUUACCCUAUUUACCUGCAUAUAUAGUACAAUUUUUCAACAAAGAAGCUUCGACCCCUAUGCCCAAUAUGUAAAUAUAUGUUAUGAGUGUAUAUAUAUUAUCGAAGGCGGAGCUACAGUAUUAGAUACUAUACUAGCUAGUUUCAUGUUUAUUUCUAACUUGGUCAUCAAAUGUUUUAUGUAUUGCUUUAGUUCAAGCAACAAAUUGUAUUUAAUGCUCUUUCGUUACAUGAUUUCUUCUUCAUAUAAAUAUAUAUAGAAUCUAUGAAGUAGAUUUUGUGCUAUAAUCCUUCCUAUUUGAUAGAAAAGGAUCCCAUGAUCCUGAACUGAUCUUACCUGGGGUUGCAAAUUCCAAGUUUGUCUAUGAAGAGCAGAUUUAAUUAUAUUAGUGUCUAUAAUUAAUUUCUUUUGUGUAAUAUUAAUUGAUAAGUGUAUAUUUUAUAAAUAAUUAUAUAUUAUAUCAAUCCCUCCGUCUCAUGUUAGAUGUACAUCUUACUGAAAAUAUUUGUCUCGUAUUACUUGAUCACUUACUAAAUCAAAAUAGAAUUAAUUAAAUUUUCUCGUUUUACCCUUACAAUUAAUAUGACUUUUGGAAGUUUAAACAAAUUUUAAAGAUUUAAUUUUUUAAGAGUCUAAUUAAUAUGAACAAAGGACAAAAUAGUAAAAUUGAUCAAUCUAUUAUUGAUUUCUUAAUCACCAUGUUAAAUAGAAAUCGUUCAUCUAAUAUAAAACAAAUGGAAUAUUAUAUAAAUAUAAUGUAUAACCAAAUAUAUAUGAUGUAUGAUUAAUAAAUUAUGUAUUGCUGAUGUAUAUAUACAUCCAUCCUGGUUUUAAAAAAAAAUAUUUAUCACUAUAUGGUGGUGAGACCUCUAUAUUGAUGAAUAAAAUUGCCAAGCUAAGGAGAGCUUAAGCUCGACCCAUUGUUCCAGUAGUUGCUUAGCAAAAACUAAGAUUCUGAUAAAAACUAUACUAAUUUGGGACAAAUUUACAAGUCCAGCAUAGUAGACAAAAUUAGCUAUAACAUUUUAACUGGAUCAGUUCUAUACAAAAUAAUUCUUCCUCUGCUUAUACCUUAGAGACUCCACUUGUAUGAGAUCAAGUUUGUAAGAUCCGAUGGCUAUCGAUGGUAGGUGAGCCUAUGCAAAAAUCAUCCUGGGUCAAUGUAACUACACUCCUGAUGAGUUGGUACUUGAAGUUUCACCUUAUCGGUAAAAAAAUAAUUUUCCAUCUUGUAAUUCAAUGCCCUUUCCUAUUUUCCCAACCACAAUAAAUAAGUAAAGUAGUAGAAGAAAAAAUCAUUAUCUGGAUUACAUGGUGAGGCAAAUUAAAGGAAAAAUUAAGCUUAAGAAUUACACAACUUAUUUAGAAUCGCAAUCAAGUAAACAUCACUUUUUUCAUAUGCUUGAAAUUGAUCCAUAAUAGUAGGGGUGUGUAUUGAUCGGUUCGAUUUUAUAUAUUAUUGGUUCGGUUUAUUGGUUUUCAAUUUUUAAAUACGUUAAAUUAACCAAUAACUAAACCGAUAUUUCUUAUCGAUUUUGAUCCUUAACAGUUCGAUUUUCGAUUUAACCAAUAAGAAAAUACUUAUAAAACAAAUAUAUGACUUCUUUAAUAAAUUUGACGCGACAACACAAUAAUGUAACUUUACAAAUGCUCAUAAAAUAGAAACAAUAAUAAAAACAUGAAAAGAACUAUACAAGUGUAACACAAAGAGUAAUUAAGAGGAAUGUUUGGUUCUUACUUUAAUUAGGUUUUGACAUUUUGUAAAAUGUGAAGUUGUGAACCUAAAGUCACUGUGACGUGUGAAUUGAAGGCUAAAGGACAAAGAAAUAACUAGUAAGAUAUUGAAUUGAUAUUUAAUAUUUAUGUACAAGUAAAAGUAGUAAAUUACUAGUCUUAAUGGGUUAUUGGUUUACCCAAUAAUCCAAUAUUAAAAAUCAAUACCAAAUCGAUAAUCCAAGUUUUUUCUUCUAUAAAACCAUUAAAAACUCGUUAAUCCAAUAAUACAUUUUCAAUUCGAUUUAUCAAUCGAUUCAAUUUUCCACCAAUAGCGUAAAUUUCUUUUUCAUAUGGCACCUUAGUGCUUGUCCACUUUUUCACAAAUGACAAAAAAAAAAAUCCAAAUAUAAGUUUUAAAAAAUAGGGCAAUCCAAAAUAUCAUAACAAUAGCAAUAAGCAUUAUUGACUUCAUUUUUGCUUUUGACAAAAAGUAGAUUCAUCAUUAAACACUUCUACCUUUCAUUAAUUUCAAGAAUCAAUUAUGCUUUUGUAUAUCAAUAUUAAAUUCGUAAGUAUAGUUUGAAUAAUUUUUAUUAAAAAUGCUAAUUAAGCCAAACAAUCAUAUGAUGUUACAUUGCCUUAUUACUAGGAUACUCUACUUUUCUUCCUACACAAUAAUGUUAGUAGCUUGUGCAACAACUAGAAUCUCUAUUCUACAAUAAUAAUAAUAAUAAUAAUAAUCCUUUUUUGGACUUCCAAUAUUGACAUCCUCGUGGAUUUAAUUUAUACAUAUACUAUAUUAUCAACGAUGGCGGUGAAAUGGAUAGAAUAUAGUCUACUCUUAACUAAAGGAGCAAAAUCGAAGGAUCUUAUUCCACCUUAUUCUUCACUAUUCUUAAUUAAUAAUCUCAAAUUUGAGUCUAAAAAUGGAAAAGUUUAUGCUAGAGAGCACUUACCUUAGACCUCUGAUUAAGGAUGGAACAGUCUCACCACUGCAACACAACCCUUGUUGGUAUGUUUAAGUGUUAAUUAAAAUAAGUAAUAAUAUGAAGUUAAAAUUUGAAAUAGUUAUUAGAAAAUACUUUCAUAAAAAAAUAAAUGAUUCUCGUCGUACCAAAUACUAGAAAACAAUUUCCUUAAAAAACAUUUUCCCUCAAAAGACAAAUACACCUCAAUCUAAAGUCACUUUAAUUUCCUCUUUGGCUUAUAUGUACCACUAAUAAAUAUACCCCCACAAAUUAAUAUCUCUCAAACACAUUCACAAAAAAUAUGGACAUGGAAAUUGAGCAAGAGGGCAACUACAAUAAGCCUAAGAAACUCAAGAAUUUCAUGUCAAUUAAAACACUUCUUAUUCUCAUAUAUUGUAUCUUCCUUUUAGUUGGCCAAAUAUCAGGUGUAUUGCUUGUUAGAAUUUAUUAUUUACAUGGUGGAAAAAGAAAAUGGUUGCAAUCUUUAUUGCUAACAGCAGGAUUCCCAAUCUUGAUUUUACCAAUUUCAAUUUCUUAUAUGAAAAAAAUGAAAAAAAUUACUAUCAACAAUAAUAAUAUUAGACUUUUUGUCACACCUAAAUUAGCAAUAUUUAGUGCUAUUUUAGGUAUCCUUUUUGGUAUUUGUAGCUACCUCUACACUAUUGGCAUGUCAUAUCUUCCCGUUUCGAUUUCCUCUCUCCUCUCUUCAACGUCCCUUGCAUUUACCGCGAUUUUCGCGUAUUUCAUGGUAAAACAUAAGUUCACACAUUAUUCGGUGAACGCGGUGGUCUUGAUGAUGCUAGGUUCGAUUAUAUUAGGGUUGCACAUGAAUGGAGAUCGUCCGAUAGGUGAAUCGAAUCGGCAAUACACGUUAGGGUUUGUGAUGACAAUUAUUGGUGCUGCUCUUCAUGGAUUUUUAAAUGCAGGAGUUGAGUAUAGUCAUGUUAAAGCUGGAGUUGUUGUCACCUUUGAUCUUGUCAUGCAAAUACAGUUUCUUAUAUCCAUGUUCUCAUCUUUGUUUUGUAUCGUUGCCAUAAUUAUCAACAGAGAUUUUCAGGUAAUCGUCUCAUUCAAAAGUUUAAGCAGUUAAAAAAGAAUUAUAGAUAGUCAUAGUAACGUACGUACGAUAUCCAUUUUAUUUUAGCUUUUUACUUAUAUAAACUAGUAAAUAAGAAGUAUAUAUAAAUUUUAUAUUACUGGUGUAAUUUAAUCUACUAUAACAUGUUAUUUAUCUUAUAUGAGAAAUUAAAUAGUCUAGCAAAGGAAACAUUAUAUUACAAUUUUAAAAAUAGAUAAAAGAAUUUAAAUUCAUAAAAAUCGUGAAAAAAAUAAUAUAAUUGAUUUGUUCUGUUUUAUGCGAUAUAGUUUGAAUUGACCAUGAUGACAAAACUUACCAAAGAAAUGAAGAUUUCUAAAAGGAAAAAAGAAGAAAGAAUUCGAGUUAACAAUGACAUGAACUUUCUUUCUCUUUAUAAGAGUGAAAAAAAGCCUCCUUUUCAAAAGAUAAUCAAGCAGCGUCAAUGACAAGAACUUUUUUAUUUACAAGAGUGAAAAUGAAAUUUUAUGUUAUUAUAAAGGGGAUAUGUUCAAGCGUGAGCGAUUUAUCUUUCUUUUUAGUCCGUUUAUACAAAAUAUCUUCUUCUCUAUAUUUAAUAAUUCUUUAAUAUCUAAUAUUUUACAUGAUUUUUUAAAAAUCAUAAGAUUUAAAGGGCAUUUUUGAUACAUUACAUAUAUGCCUGCAUCUUUAAUUUAAGACUACAAAAUUAAAAGAUCUCUUUUUCAUUUUCUAAAACUUCAUGCAUAGUCAAACUACGACACUUAAAUUAGCAUCGAGAAAGUACUUUUUCUUUAAGAGUUUAAGAUAUAUACGUCGUCCAUAUAAAUCAUAUGCACACAACACAUCAGAUUCUCUUCACAUGUUAUAGCAGGUAACCUGCUAUUUUAUUUGCAUGCAAGAUUACAAAUCUCAUAUCUUAAGGAUGUCUGCCGAUCUAUAAAUAUUCUUUGAAUAACCUGACAGUGUAAGAAAAUCUUUUUAACAAUAUGUAGGCCAUCACUAG
rnacentral:lncRNA from 1 species